rnacentral:rRNA from 1 species
AACGUAGGUCACAAGCGUUGUCCGGAAUUACUGGGUGUAAAGGGAGCGCAGGCGGGAAGACAAGUUGGAAGUGAAAUCCAUGGGCUCAACCCAUGAACUGCUUUCAAAACUGUUUUUCUUGAGUAGUGCAGAGGUAGGCGGAAUUCCCGGUGUAGCGGUGGAAUGCGUAGAUAUCGGGAGGAACACCAGUGGCGAAGGCGGCCUACUGGGCACCAACUGACGCUGAGGCUCGAAAGUGUGGGUAGCAAACAGGAUUAGAUACCCUGGUAGCUGACUGACU